UAGGGAAUCUUCGGCAAUGGACGAAAGUCUGACCGAGCAACGCCGCGUGAGUGAAGAAGGUUUUCGGAUCGUAAAACUCUGUUGUUAGAGAAGAACAAGGACGUUAGUAACUGAACGUCCCCUGACGGUAUCUAACCAGAAAGCCACGGCUAACUACGUGCCAGCAGCCGCGGUAAUACGUAGGUGGCAAGCGUUGUCCGGAUUUAUUGGGCGUAAAGCGAGCGCAGGCGGUUUCUUAAGUCUGAUGUGAAAGCCCCCGGCUCAACCGGGGAGGGUCAUUGGAAACUGGGAGACUUGAGUGCAGAAGAGGGGAGUGGAAUUCCAUGUGUAGCGGUGAAAUGCGUAGAUAUAUGGAGGAACACCAGUGGCGAAGGCGGCUCUCUGGUCUGUACCUGACGCUGAGGCUCGAAAGCGUGGGGAGCAAACAGG
rnacentral:rRNA from 1 species